GCUGGGUGUCGUGUUAGUUUUCUUUGGAGGACUUUAAUGGAAACACUGACACUGGCCAUAGACCUCUAUGGAACACUGCCAGUUAGUCCACACAAGGCUAUGUUUCAGGUGUGGAACCGCUUGGGUCUGCAGGGGUGUCAGGUGUCCCCUGCCAUUUAUCAUGUGUGUCUGCUACUGCCAAGACCCAAAUAAAGCAGCCAAGACACCUGAACCUCUCAGAGCUGAGACUUCUGGUUUUCUCAUUUCCGCAGCAAUACUUUUUUGAUUCACAAGAAGUCGGGCUGGGCAACGCUGGCCCCACGGCGUCCAACCAGACAGUGGCAGCAGUGAAGGCCCACCUUAAUUAAACACUUGCUGUAGGUUCCUUUCGUAACCUUAUUGCACAGACGUUACACUGAAGAUGAGAAGACUGGAUCUCUCCAGUGCAGUGAACUGGGUUAUGAUAUGAACAGUUUUUUUCAUAUUAAGGCACCUAGAAGGAAAUACAGGAACCAGACUGAGCUUUUUAAUGAGAGGUAUUUUAAAUGGCCUUAAAGACUGGCAUUGGGAAUUACAAUCAUUGUGUAGAAUGUACAAUACAAGGGUGUGUAUUAAGGUGUAAACAGAGUCAGGUGGUAACUUGUUUACCUAUUUAUUGGUUGUAUAAAACCUGGUUAUUGUAGGCAUUUUCAGAAAGGUGGUUUAUUAUCAAAGGUGUUUAUUAUAUUAUUAUUAAUUUCAACAAGCUCUUUUUUAGGUUAAAUUAGCAAUUACACCAUUCAUUAAGGGUGGGGUUUGUGGGCAUUUUUUGUAUUUUUUGCUACAAAAACAAUAUGAAAGUCCUGCCGUGCCUGGGAAAACCUAUGUCCAGGCCAAACUCGAUGCUGGUGAAAGAGGUGAAUAAAUGUUUCUAAAAUGA